rnacentral:lncRNA from 1 species
UGGAAUGUUUACCACCAGGAGAAGCUUUCAAACUGUUCGAGGAGAAGGUUGGAUCAGAGACCCUUCAAAUGCAUCCAGAUAUUUGCAAGUUAGCUGAAGCGGUGGUGGAAGAGUGUGCAGGACUACCUCUCGCUCUCAUUACAAUUGGGCGGGCCAUGGCAUCCAAGAGGACCCCUCACGAAUGGAAAUAUGCUAUUGAAGUUUUAAGGCAAUCAACAGCUUCUGUGUUCCCAGGGGUAGGGAAAGAGAUGUUUCCCAAGUUAAAAUUCAGUUAUGACAGUUUAGCUGAUGAAAAAGUGAAAUCUUGUUUCCUGUAUUGUUCUUUAUAUCCAGAGGAUAAAUCCAUCGAAAAAGAUGAACUAAUCCAUUGUUGGAUCGGGGAAGGACUUUUGGACGAGCAUACCAAUUUGAGCAAUGCCAGAAACCGGGGACAUUUCAUUAUAGGUUCUCUUAUUGACGCAUGCUUAUUGGAGAAACAAGGUAAUCAUCGUAUAAAGAUGCACGAUGUGAUUCGCGACAUGGCUUUGUGGAUUGCUGGUGAAUCUGAGGUGAAGUUUUUUGUCAAAUCAGGUGUUCAGUUAAAGGAACAACCAAAAGAUAAAAAGUGGGAAGAGGUAAUAAGAAUGUCGGUGAUGGAUAAUCUAAUUGAAAAUCUAACUGACAUAUUGGCAUGCCCCAAUCUCCAAACUUUAUUUCUUGGGAGGAAUCGUUUGAAGGUGAUCAUCAAUGAUUUCUUUAAUUUCAUGCCGAUGCUUAGGGUUCUAGACUUGUCCCACAACAUGAAUUUGAAAGAAUUGCCAGUUGGAAUCGGAAAGUUGGUUUCACUAGAACAUCUCAAUCUGUCAUUUACACACAUAAGAAAGCUGCCAAUCGAAUUGAAGGCCCUUAAAAACCUGAAAUAUUUGAAUUUGGAGCGGACAAGGAGGCUGAGAAUAAUCCCACAAUUGAUAUCCAGUUUCUCUAAGUUGCAAGUACUGAAAAUGGAGGGGUGUUGCUAUCAAUGUUCACUGGUUUUGGAGGAAAUGGAGCAUUUAAACUAUUUGAAUGUGUUGACCAUUACUUUUACAAGCACUUCGGAGUUAGAAAAAGCUUUGGGGUUCAACAAGUUCAUUAGCUGUGCCAUUGAACAUGUAAGCCUUCAAGGUUUUAGAGAUUCAAGGUCAUUGAAUAUUUUGGCUUUAGCAAAUUUGCAGCCUUUAUAUAGCUUAGAACUUUCGGGUUAUAUGGUUAUUGAAGAUGUGAAGAUCGAAAGUAACAUAAUUGAAGGUGUAGGAUGCUUCCAUAGCCUUCGAUCUAUAUACCUAUUCGACUGCAAUCAAUUGAGGGAUGCGAGUUGGAUAAUUUUUGCUCCACAUUUGGAACGACUAUUUAUACGUGAUUGCCAAGGUUUAGAAGAAAUAAUCAGUGAGGAAAAACUUAGUGAAGUCGCUGAGCUAAAGCAAAAUUCAAACUUGUUUUCUAACCUAGAGUUUUUGCAUCUAAAUAAUCUGCCCAAAAUGAAGACAAUAUACGGACAUGCUCUACUUUUUCCGCAGCUGAAGAGAAUCACAAUUUUAAAUUGCCCAAUGCUGAAGAAGUUCCCACUAAACUCCAAUAGUGCAAAAGGACGAAGGCUCGUCAUUGAAGGAGAUGAGGGAUGGUGGAAAGAUGUAGAAUGGCAGGAUGAAUCUACCCAAAUUGCUUUUUUCCCCUCUUUCAAACAUCGGUAAUUUACUAAAUGUUGGUUAUUAAUUAAGGCUUAAAGCCAUUAUUGUAUCAUAGCAUACCUCACUCUAAGUUCUAUUUUGUCUAUCCUUAAAUUACAUGUACACGACUUUCUUCUUUAAAUGUAUUAACUCAUUUUUAUAAUUUAUUUAUUUUUGUUGUCGAUUAAGUCUUGAUUCAAUUAAUAUUGUUAUUAUGGCAACAAUAAGAGAAUGUGAGUUUGAGCAUAAAUAAAUACAAAUUAUUUUUUUAUUCAUGCAUUUAAGAGACUAUAAGUAGUAAUAGAAAAUGUAUAAAAUUUUUUAUUAUUUAUAUUGGUUUUUUUUUUAAUAAUUUUCUUUAAAAGAAACCAACUUAAGCAUUGUUUCUUAUCAUAUAUAAGCUCAGCUUAAUCUGUGAACAUCUUUACUCAAACCCAAUUACUAAAAGUGAGAUUAUGUAUAUGAAUUCUCUAAAAUUACAGACUCAUAAACAAGUUAUUGCAAUUAAUACUCAAAUGGCAGUCUCUGAAUUUAAUAAGUUACAGCAAACUGAUUAGUUAAAUGUUUGAUGAGUAUAGUUAUUAGACAUCUCCUCCUUCUCCUACCUCCUUUGCAUUUUGAAUUUAGCCUAUCUUGUAACACUAAAAUAACAUUAACAGGUAAAGACUGUGUACAGAGGUAAGCAUACUAUGCCUAAUUUCAACUUGAUUUUGUAAUAUUUCCAUCAAAUAAUUUUUGCAUCUUUAUCAUAGUGUCAUAAUUAAUAGUGUGUGCCCACUUCUGCGGAUUCUCAUAUGGUGUGCUAAUAAUUCUGGAAAAUACUCGGUACUAAGUGGGUAUAAGCUAUUGAAAAAGUGAAAUCUUGUUUUGUGUAUUGUUGAAAAAGAUGCACUAAUACAUUAUAGGUAAUCAAUAUCAGAAAUGUUAUCAUUGUAAUUUUUGGGUACUAAAAUCAUGAGAAAAAAAUCCAAUAUUAAAUGAUAUAUUAGCUUUAAAAUUUUAGAAACAAAAUUUUUAAUUAAAUAAAAUGUAAAACCAGUUAAAUGAAGACAAUAUACUACCAUCCUCUCUGUUUUUGUUUACCAAAAUAUUCUCAAUGUUUCAUAUAACUCCAUAAGCAUCUUUGAUUUAUUCCUUGCUUCUAUUUCCAGAAAUUGUUCAGCUCACUCUUCUAAAAUCAAAACCUGGUAUGGGUAAUGUCUUCUCAAUCUCAUUUUCACUCGAUACCAUCAUUACCCGUUGUUGGGAUUCUGCUGUUGGAAAGGCUUCUUUUCCAUGCAAACUUGAAGAAAACCUCCACGCUUUAAAAAAUGAAGUGGAAGAAUUGGAGGCGAUAAGGACGUAUCUUAUGAGCAGGGUCAGGGUCGCUGAAGAUGAGCAGCAACUUAGGCGGCUACCCCAAGUUGAUCUUUGGCUUCAGAGGGCUAAUCGUGUGAUAACCGAUGCCGAUCAACUGGUUGUCAAAAGUCCUCAGCAUGUUGAAAAGCUAUGUAUGGGAGGUUGUUGUUCCAGGCAUCCCAGGUCUACCCACAAGUUCGGGAAGCAAAUCGCCAGAAUACUCCAAGAGGUGAAAGACAUGAAGGAGAAAGGAGAUUUCAGUGAUGUGGCCUGCAAGCCACCAAUUCCUUCCGCAAACAAACGACCUUCUGAGCCAACUGUGGGUUUAGAGUCCUAUGUCAAUCAGGUUUGGAGCUAUAUUCAAAACAAACUAGUGGGAAUUAAUGGCAUAUAUGGCUUAGGAGGGGUUGGCAAGACAACCCUCCUAAACCAAAUCAAUAACAGAUUCCAUGAUACUUGCGGUGGUUACGUUGUCAUUUGGGCAGUUGCAUCGCAAGAUCGGCCAAUUGAGAAAGUCCAGGAUGAGAUUGCCAAAAGAAUAGGCCUUUCCGAUGAACAUUGGAAAUCUAAGAGCCUUGAUGAGAAAGCUGGAGACAUACGCAGCAUAUUAUAUGGUAGGAGGUUUGCAUUGUUGUUGGAUGAUAUAUGGGAAUGGUUUGAUCUCACAAGAGCUGGGAUACCUAUUCCAACAGUGGACAAUGACUCUAAAGUCAUUUUCACAACUCGUCGUCUUGACGUGUGCUGUCAAAUGCAACCGAACAUGGAUAAUAAUAUCAGAGUGGCAUGUUUACCAUCAGGAGAAGCUUUCAAACUGUUCGAGGAAAAGGUUGGGUCAGAAACCCUUCAAAUGCAUCCAGAUAUUCACAAGUUAGCUGAAGCGGUGGUUGAAGAGUGUGCAGGACUACCUCUCGCUCUCAUUACAAUUGGGCGAGCCAUGGCAUCCAAGAAGACCCCUCGAGAAUGGGAAUAUGCUGUUGAAGUUUUAAGGCAAUCAGCAGCCUCUGUGUUCCCAGGGGUAGGGAAAGAGAUGUAUCCCAAGUUAAAAUUCAGUUAUGACUGUUUACCUGAUGAAAGGUUCAGAUCUUGUUUCUUGUAUUGUUCUUUAUAUCCAGAAGAUCAUCUCAUUGAAAAAGACGAACUAGUAGAUUGUUGGAUCGGUGAAGCACUUUUGGACGAGCAUACCAAUUUGAGCAGUGCCAGAAACCAGGGACAUUUCAUUAUAGGUUCUCUUAUUGACGCAUGCUUAUUGGAGAAAGAAGAUAAUCACCGUGUAAAGAUGCACGAUGUGAUUCGCGACAUGGCUUUGUGGAUUGCUGGUGAAUCUGAGAAGGAGAAGUUUUUUGUAAAAUCAGGUUUUCAGUUAAAGGAACAACCGAAAGCUAAAAAGUGGGAAGAGGUAACAAGAAUGUCGCUGAUGGACAAUCAAAUUGAAAAUCUAACUGAGAUAUUGGAAUGUCCCAAUCUCCAAACUUUGUUUCUUGGCAGGAAUGAUUUGAAGGUAAUCAUGGAUGAUUUCUUUAAUUUCGUGCCGAUGCUAAGGGUUCUGGAUUUGUCCCAUAAUAUGAAGUUGGAAGAAUUGCCAGUAGGAAUUGCAAAGUUGGUUUCACUAGAACAUCUCAAUCUGUCAUUUACAGGAAUAAGAAAGUUGCCACUCGAAUUGAAGACCCUAGCAAAGCUGAAAUAUUUGAAUCUGGAGUGGACAACGGAUCUAGAAAUGAUCCCACAACAAUUGAUAUCCAGUUUCUCCAAGUUGCAAGUACUGAAAAUGGAGAGAUGUGGAUAUGGAUGUUUAUUGGUUUUGGAGGAAAUGGAGCAUUUAAAAUAUUUGAAUGUGUUGACCAUUAGUUUUAGAAACGCUUCGGAGUUGGAAAAAGCUUCGAGGUUCAACAAGUCCUUUAGCUGUGCCAUUGAAGCUGUAAGUCUUGUAGAUUUCAGAGAUUCAAGAUCAUUGACUAUUAUGGCUUUAGCAAAUCUACAGCAUCUAUGUACUUUAACACUCUCGAGGUGUAUGGAUCUAGAGAAAGUGAAGAUCGAACGUAACAUAAUUAAAGGUGCAGGAUGCUUCCAUAGCCUUCGAUCUGUAAUCCUAGACGAAUGCAAUCAUUUGAGGGAUGUGAGUUGGGUAUUUGGAAGUACUAAGGAUAGCUGAAUGCAAUGGUUUAGAAGAAAUCAUCAGUGAAGAAAAACUUGGUGAAGUCGCUGAGCUAAAAGGAAAUUCAAACUUGUUUUCUAAGCUCGAGAAUUUGUGUCUACAUAAUCUGGCCAAACUAAAGACUAUAUACCAUCAUGCUCUGCCUUUCCCACUGCUGAAGAAAAUCAGAAUUGUAAAAUGCGGAAUGUUGAAGAAGCUCCCACUAAACUCCAAUAGUACAAAAGGACAGAGGCUGGUCAUUGAAGGAGAGGAGGGAUGGUGGGAAAAUGUAGAAUGGAAGGAUGAAUCCACUCGAAUUGCUUUUCUCCCUUCUUUCAAACCUUAUGUAAUCUAAGAAAUGUUGGAUAUUAAUUAAGGCUUAAAGCCUUGAUUGUAUCAUAACAUACCUCAUUGUAAGUUCUAUUUUGGCCAUCCUUGGAUUACCUGUAGUUUGGUUCUGUGUUUUACACACAGAAUUUUUUUGUUUAGUGUGAAUUUGAAAAUAUAUAAUGUUAAUGAAUUAAAAUUUGAAGUAUAACUUUCAACAUAUCAUAUCAUUUUUUUUUUAAUUUUAUAACUAAAAAUUUCCAUAAUUAUAGUAAAAUUAAAAAUUUUCUUAUAAAUGUUGUUUUAGGUUGUAUUUCUGUAUAUUUAAAUAUGAGAUAAUUUUUUAUAGGAGAGAAAAAUGUGUUAAAUAUAAAUUUGGAAUUUUAAAAAAUUAAAAAUUUAAGUUUUAAUAAGUUAAUAAAAUAUAAUUUCUUUUUAUUUAUUAUACAUGUUAUCAAUAAAAAAAACUGAUCAUGUAAGAUUAGAUACUAAAUAUUGAGAAUUAUAUUAUAAUAAAAUAACGGUGACGUAAUAUAAAUUUCAAUAUUUUUAUAUUAAAACUCAUUAAUACAAAUUAUUAACAUUUUAAAAUUGUUUAUGAUUAUAGAAUCUGGUAUCAUGCAAGUACAAAAAUUAACAUAUUCUUUAAUGAUGUUUCAAUGUUGAAAUAUGGUUAAAUGAUUAGAACGUGAGUUUGAGCACAAAUAAAUACAAAUUAUUUUUUGAUUCACACGUUUAAGAGACUAUAAUUAAGCAGUAAUUGGAAAUGUAUAAAAAAAAUUAUUAUUUAUAUUGGUUUUUGUUUAAUAAUUUUCUUUAAAAGAAACCAAUUUAAGCCUUGUUUCGAUAUCAUAUAUGAGCCCGGUUUAAUCUGUGAAUAUCUUUACUCAAACUCGAUUACUUAAAGUGAGCUUAUGUAUAUGAAUUCUCUAAAAUUAUAGACUCAUAAACAAGUUAUUGCAAUUAAUACUCAAAUGGCAGUCUCUGAAUUUAAUAAGUUACAGCAAACUGAUUAGUUAAAUGUUUGAUGAGUACAGUUAUUAGGCAUCUUCUACUUCCUUUGCAUUUUGAAUUUAGCCCCUCUUGUAACACUAAAAUAACAUUAACAGGUAAAGACUGUGUACAGAGGUAAGCAUACUAUGCCCAAUUUCAACUUGAUUUUGUAAUAUUUCCAUCAAAUAAUUUAUGCGUCUUUAUCAUAGUGUCAUAAUUAAGAGUAUGUGUCCACUUCUGCUGAUUCUCUUGUGUGGUGUGCUGAUAAUUCUGGGAAAUACUCAGUACUAAAUGGGUAUAAGCUGAUGAAAAAGUGAAAUCUUGUUUCGUGUAUUGUUCUUUAUAUCCAGAAGAUGAUCUCAUUGAAAAAGAUGUACUAAUACAUUGUUGGAUCGAGGAUGGAAUUUUGGACAAACAUACCAAUUUGAGCAGUGCCAAAAACCAGGGACAUUUCAUUAUAGGUUCUCUUAUUGAGGCAUGCUUAUUGGAGAAUUUGGUAAAUUUGAGAUGUGUAAGCACAAUACCUGUGAUGAAGUUGUAUUUGGUAAAUUUUUCUCCAACUUUUGAACCCGUGAAAGCCAGCAUAGGUAAUCAAUAAAUCAUGACAAAAAUUAACACUGUAAUUUUUGGUACUAAAAUCAUGAGAAAAAAUAUAAUACUAAAUGAUAUAUUAAGUCUUUAAAUAAAUAUUAGCUUUAAAGUUUUAGAAACAAUUUUUUUUAAUUAAAUAAAAUAUAAAACCACUUAAAUUUAAUUCAAUAUAUAAUCAUUUUUAUUGUUUUAAAUACUUGUUUAUAUAGGUUUUUUUUAAUUUAAAACAGUUUUGGAAAAAAAAACUAUUUUUUUGAAAACAUAUUUAUAAAUAUAAAUCAUUUUAAAAGAUUUAAAAAUAUAGUAUUUUAAUUAUAAUUGUUAAUAAUUUUAAAUCUUCGUAUAUUUUUUAAUCAACAAAUUAUGCCCAUUUAUCUUAAAUUUUAAAGUAGUAAUUUAACUAUGUUCCAAAUAGAUAACUCUGCAUUUUGAAUCUAGAAACCUGCUUUGAAGUUUGGGAACCAGAUGACUGCAGAGGGCAUAAAUUUUGCAAUAAGUUGGUGGCUAUACUACUUAAUAACUACAUACUCACAAAGAUGUGUAAGCAAAAUUUUUUAUAUGGGUUCCAUGUCUUUAAUUGGAUUAUGAUAACCCCUGAAACAAUUUCUGAAUUCUUCCAUUGGCAUAUAUGGUCAUGAAUUCAGUUACCUUGAUCUUCCACUGUUAUCUGUUUUUUGCUGAUGUUUGUUUAAGUGGCAAUGAUAGUGCUUGUGAAUAUCUCAUACAUGAAUGCUGUGGGAAGCUAAUGCAGGGCAAAGCAAGUUGUGAGUUUCUACCCAACAUGCUCAUCUUAGUCUUUCUUUUCUGAUGGGAUCUUAAUAAUUGAAGAAGUGGAAGCCUUUAAAGAAAGAGGUAGCUCCUAACAUGCCUGCUUUUUAUAUUAAACAAACUUUACACCUACUAUGAUUAAUUAAAAUAUGUUGUAUUAAUGUUGCUCAAGUUGUAAAAUAGAAUAAGAAAUUGCAUUUGGUAUCCACGGCACACAAAAGAUGCCUUACAAUGGACCCAUUGUGUCAAAACCAAAUAAAGUGGGAUAAAAGAGAGCUGUGUGCAAUGCAAGUCUUCCCAACAAGUCAAUGAUUUAUUCACUAUCUUUUUUCCUUUUUUUUGGUAUCAAAAUGCAUGUUAACAUCCAACAGUUUGUCUUUGUUUUUCUCAAUCUCACUUUCCCUCGAUCCCAUCAUUACCCGUUGCUCGGAUUGUGCUACUGGACAAGCAAGUUAUAUAUGCAACCUUGAAGAUAACCUCCAUGCUUUCCAAGCUGAAGUAGCAGGACUGAAGGAGCUCAGGAGUGAUCUGAUGAGCAGGGUCAGAAUUGCUGAAGAUGAGCAGCAGCUUAAGCCCCUAAACCAAGUUGAGGGUUGGCUUUCGAGGGCUGAAACUCUGAUAAACGAUGCUGAUCAACUGAUUGUCCAAAGUCCUCAGCAUGUUGAAAAUCUAUGUAUGGGAGAUUGUUGGUCCACUCAUCCUAGGUCCAGCAUCAAGUUCGGGAAGAAAAUUGCCAAAAAACUCCAAGAGGUGAAAGACCAGAAGGAGAAUGGAGAUUUCAGUGAUGUGGCCAGCAAGCCACCACUUCCUUCAGCAACUGAAAGACCUAGUGAGCCAACUGUGGGUUUAGAGUCCAAUUUCAACAAGGUCUGGAGCUGUCUUCAAAAGGAACAAGUGGGAAUUAUUGGCAUAUAUGGCUUAGGAGGGGUUGGCAAGACAACCCUCCUAAACCAAAUCAAUAACAAAUUCCAUGAUACUACCCAUGAUUACCAUGUCAUUUGGGCAGUUGCAUCACAAGAUCGGCCAAUUGAGAGAGUCCAGGAUCAAAUUGCCGAAAGAAUAGGCCUUUCUAAUGAAGGUUGGAAAUCUAAGAGCCUUGAUGAGAAAGCUGAAGGCAUCUUCCAGGUAUUAUGUAAAAAGAAGUUUGCAUUGUUGUUGGAUGAUAUAUGGGAAUGGUUUGAUCUCACAAGAGCUGGGGUACCUCUUCCAACACAACAAAAUGGCUCUAAAGUCAUUUUCACAACUCGUCGUCUUGACGUGUGCUGUCAAAUGCAACCGAACAUGGAUAAUAAUAUUAGAGUGGAAUGUUUACCACCAGGAAAAGCUUUCAAACUGUUCGAGGAGAAGGUUGGAUCAGAAACCCUUCGAAUGCAUCCAGAUAUUUCCAAGUUAGCUGAAGCGGUGGUUGAAGAGUGUGCAGGGCUACCUCUAGCUCUCAUUACAAUUGGGCGAGCCAUGGCAUCCAAGAAGACCCCUCGAGAAUGGGAAUACGCUAUUGAAGUUUUAAGGCAAUCAGCAGCUUCUGUGUUGCCAGGGGUCGGGAAAGAGAUGUAUCCCAAGUUAAAAUUCAGUUAUGACUGUUUACCUGAUGAAAGGUUCAGAUCUUGUUUCUUGUAUUGUUCUUUAUAUCCAG